AUUUUAUAUGCUCAUUUAUUAUUAAAAAGUUCAAAAGUUAUUUAAAUUUAUUAACUAAAACUCUGCAAACAAUCUACAUUGGCGGACAAAAGACUGCUCACCGCUCUGGAAAUAACAAUAAAUUGUUUUGAAUGAAGAUAUUUUUGAAAACUAUUGGCAAUUCAGCAGUCUCAGUUGUGGAAGGCUGCCAAAGCUCGUCUUUUGAAAUACCAUAAGCAAAGCUAACCAAGGAAAACUGUUGUAUUAAAAAAAUGAAUAAAAAAGUUAAUUCCUAUAAAAGUCAAGGAUACAUCUGAUUAGCAUAACACACUGGAGGGAAAACUUAAUUUAAAAAGAGGCUCAGUGGUAUACAACCGACAAAAUAAAAUCCUGCGUUUAGCUAAUCUAUAAUAAUAAUAUAUAAUAAACUAUAGAUCUAUGCUGAGAAGUAUUAUAUUUUCGUCUCUUUGUUUGUAUUGAAUUGUAAACGCAGAUAAUCUUGAACUGCGUUUUUUAUGGCUUAGAUAUUAAAGAAGCACUUAUAAUAACGGUAAUUUUCAUCGGAUGUCUUCGAAAUGGCAUUGGAUUUGAUUUGAAUUUCUUUGAUCUUCAAGUUCAUUGAAUAUAAUAACCAAGUGACACCUUUUAAGACAAGUGUACGUGCUAAGUCUUCAAAUGUAACUCAGCCAAAGGGCAUGCAAAUUGGAAAGAAAGCUCAACCGAGAGCUGGGAACACUAUACACGACGCAAAAAUACCACAUCUUCCUGGGAUGUCGUCGAAUUGCCGCCUUAUUUAAACAAAAAUGAAACAAUAAAUAAGUAAGUAAUAACAAACUAUAAAAGCACCAAAGCAUAUCUGAUAUACAAAACAAGUAAAAAUUCAGAAGUGGCAUAGAAAGUUUUAAAUGACGUAGAAACGCGAAAAAUUCAAAAUUCCACCAACCUACUAGUGACAAUUUUAAAGUCUGCAUAACAGAAUCAUAAGGAAUACAUAUGGUGCUCUUUGCAAACAUAUAUAUACACAUAUAUAACAGGCGUAGGAAAAAGUAAUCCAUUAUUUUUAUAUAAAUUUUAAUGGUUCCAAUUUUUCUAUGCGUAUCCAGCCAAUCUUUAGCUCUUGGAUCAUCGGAGUCGACAAUGUCAGUGCUUUUAUCGACAAUUUGUCGAAGCAUUCCACUCGUCGAAGCAUCUUUUACAUCAAAAUUACCGGAAUAAAAUGAAAUUGCGCAUGAUUUACUGUAAAAGUAUCAGAACCAUAAACGCUAUUCACAUUUUCAGCCGCCUGGGCUGCGUUGGCACGAAAUGCGAUCUUUCUAACGCCAUCUAGCUGAGCCGACAGGCAAAUAAAGUCUUCUAUUUGAAAAAAAAAAAUGGAUCUCUCUCUACUACAACUAUUAUAUUGUUAUUUUUGGUUAUCUGGACUGUUACAAGAAAACCAACAUUGUAUGAAUAUAAGUGAUAAAUACGAUGUAUAUGUACACUUUACUGCCACCUUAUCCGAGUGGUUAGCACUGCGUAGUGCAGAGUCACGGACAUGAUUAGUUUUCUGAGUGCUGUCGCUCCUCGGCAUGGAUUGCCAUCCCUCCAAGUUCCUUGUAAAAAAGAAGGAUUAUAAUAAACUGUAGAACAUUCCAUUCGAUAUAGAAAAUCAAAACGAGCGCUACAAAUUGGAGAUAGCUUGACUGAAACAAUUAAGGGUUAAUGGAAAUAUAAAGGGUUUUUUUCGAACGCAUCGCACAACAACGUUUUAAUAUCUUAAGAGCAUAGUAUUCACCCGCAGACUACACAGAUAUAAUACCUUCAAAGAAACACAACAAAAAGUAAUGUAUAGAGUUUCGUUUAUUUGGACUUGAAAUGUUAACAGCAUUUUGUGUAUGUACUUAUUUAGGUAUUCAUCAUUGUUUCUUUUUGUUUUUUAUUAUUCUGUUUUAGCGUACAAUUUAGCUCAUUUAUGUCUAUCGACUUAAUGGUGGCUUCAAAGCGAAU
rnacentral:lncRNA from 1 species